AGCGAACGCUGGCGGCAGGCCUAACACAUGCAAGUCGAACGAACCUUUCGGGGUUAGUGGCGGACGGGUGAGUAACACGUGGGAACGUGCCUUUAGGUUCGGAAUAACUCAGGGAAACUUGUGCUAAUACCGAAUGUGCCCUUCGGGGGAAAGAUUUAUCGCCUUUAGAGCGGCCCGCGUCUGAUUAGCUAGUUGGUUGAGGUAAUGGCUCACCAAGGCGACGAUCAGUAGCUGGUCUGAGAGGAUGAUCAACCACAUUGGGACUGAGACACGGCCCAAACUCCUACGGGAGGCAGCAGUGGGGAAUCUUGCGCAAUGGGCGAAAGCCUGACGCAGCCAUGCCGCGUGAAUGAUGAAGGUCUUGGGAUUGUAAAAUUCUUUCACCGGGGACGAUAAUGACGGUACCCGGAGAAGAAGCCCCGGCUAACUUCGUG
rnacentral:rRNA from 1 species